rnacentral:rRNA from 1 species
GACGAACGCUGGCGGCGUGCUUAACACAUGCAAGUCGAACGGUGAAGCGCCUUCCUUUUUGGUGGGUGUGGAUGAGUGGCGAACGGGUGAGUAACACGUGAGUAACCUGCCCCCUUCUUCUGGAUAACCGCAUGAAAGUGUGGCUAAUACGGGAUAUUCUGGGUCUGUCGCAUGAUGGGUCUGGGAAAGAUAUUGUUUCGGUGGGGGAUGGGCUCGCGGCCUAUCAGCUUGUUGGUGGGGUGAUGGCCUACCAAGGCGGUGACGGGUAGCCGACCUGAGAGGGUGGACGGUCACACUGGGACUGAGACACGGCCCAGACUCCUACGGGAGGCAGCAGUGGGGAAUAUUGCACAAUGGGCGCAAGCCUGAUGCAGCGACGCCGCGUGGGGGAUGGAGGCCUUCGGGUUGUGAACCUCUUUCGCCAGUGAAGCAGGCCUGCCUCGUUUGUGGGUGGGUUGACGGUAGCUGGAUAAGAAGCGCCGGCUAACUACGUG